GACGAACGCUGGCGGCGUGCUUAACACAUGCAAGUCGAGCGGAAAGGCCCUUCGGGGUACUCGAGCGGCGAACGGGUGAGUAACACGUGAGCAACCUGCCCCAGGCUUUGGGAUAACCCCGGGAAACCGGGCUUAAUACCGAAUAUGACCUGCACCGCAUGGUGUUGGUGGAAAGGUUUUCGGCUUGGGAUGGGCUCGCGGCCUAUCAGCUUGUUGGUGGGGUGAUGGCCUACCAAGGCGACGACGGGUAGCCGGCCUGAGAGGGCGACCGGCCACAACUGGGACUGAGACACGGCCCAGACUCUACGGGAGGCAGCAGUGGGGAAUAUUGCACAAUGGGCGGAAGCCUGAUGCAGCGACGCCGCGUGAGGGAUGACGGCUUCGGGUUGUAAACCUCUUUCAGCAGGGACGAAGCGUAAGUGACGGUACCUGCAGAAGAAGCGCCGGCCAACUACGUGCCAGCAGCCGCGGUAAGACGUAGGGCGCGAGCGUUGUCCGGAUUUAUUGGGCGUAAAGAGCACGUAGGCGGCUUGUCGCGUCGACCGUGAAAACCUGGGGCUCAACCCCAGGCUGCGGUCGAUACGGGCAGGCUAGAGUUCGGUAGGGGAGACUGGAAUUCCUGGUGUAGCGGUGAAAUGCGCAGAUAUCAGGAGGAACACCGGUGGCGAAGGCGGGUCUCUGGGCCGAUACUGACGCUGAGGAGCGAAAGCGUGGGGAGCGAACAGGAUUAGAUACCCUGGUAGUCCACGCUGUAAACGUUGGGCGCUAGGUGUGGGGGGCCUCUCCGGUUCCCUGUGCCGCAGCUAACGCAUUAAGCGCCCCGCCUGGGGAGUACGGCCGCAAGGCUAAAACUCAAAGGAAUUGACGGGGGCCCGCACAAGCGGCGGAGCAUGCGGAUUAAUUCGAUGCAACGCGAAGAACCUUACCUGGGUUUGACAUGGCCGCAAAACUGUCAGAGAUGGCAGGUGGGGCGGUCACAGGUGGUGCAUGGCUGUCGUCA
rnacentral:rRNA from 1 species